rnacentral:rRNA from 1 species
GACGAACGCUGGCGGCGUGCCUAAUACAUGCAAGUAGAACGCUGAAGGAGGAGCUUGCUUCUCUGGAUGAGUUGCGAACGGGUGAGUAACGCGUAGGUAACCUGCCUGGUAGCGGGGGAUAACUAUUGGAAACGAUAGCUAAUACCGCAUAACAGUAGAUGUUGCAUGACAUUUGCUUAAAAGGUGCAAUUGCAUCACUACCAGAUGGACCUGCGUUGUAUUAGCUAGUUGGUGGGGUAACGGCUCACCAAGGCGACGAUACAUAGCCGACCUGAGAGGGUGAUCGGCCACACUGGGACUGAGACACGGCCCAGACUCCUACGGGAGGCAGCAGUAGGGAAUCUUCGGCAAUGGACGGAAGUCUGACCGAGCAACGCCGCGUGAGUGAAGAAGGUUUUCGGAUCGUAAAGCUCUGUUGUAAGAGAAGAACGAGUGUGAGAGUGGAAAGUUCACACUGUGA